UUAGAGGAAGUAAAAGUCGUAACAAGGUUUCCGUAGGUGAACCUGCGGAAGGAUCAUUAUUGAAAUAAACCUGAUGGGUUGUUGCUGGUUCUCUAGGGAGCAUGUGCACACCUUGUCAUCUUUAUAUCUCCACCUGUGCACCUUUUGUAGACCUUUUCGGGUCUAUGUUGCCUCAUUUUACCCCAAUGUAUGUCAAUAGAAUGUUGUGCCUAUAUAUAAUAUAUACAACUUUCAGCAACGGAUCUCUUGGCUCUCGCAUCGAUGAAGAACGCAGCGAAAUGCGAUAAGUAAUGUGAAUUGCAGAAUUCAGUGAAUCAUCGAAUCUUUGAACGCACCUUGCGCUCCUUGGUAUUCCGAGGAGCAUGCCUGUUUGAGUGUCAUUAAUAUAAUCAACCUUCUCUUGUUUUGAGAAUGGUUUGGAUGUGGGGGGUUUGCUGGCCUCUCUCAAAAGGUUCAGCUCCCCUGAAAUGCAUUAGCAGAACAACCUUUGCUCAUUGGUGUGAUAACUAUCUACGCUUAUGAAUAUGAGGGGCAGUUCAGCUUUCUAACGGUCUUUGGACAAUUCAUCAUUAAUGUGACCUCAAAUCAGGUAGGACUACCCGCUGAACUUAAGCAUAUCAAUAAGCG
rnacentral:rRNA from 1 species